rnacentral:rRNA from 1 species
CGGAUUGGUAAAUUUUCUGUGAAAUCAGUUGGCUCAACCAAUUGGCGUGCAGGAAACACUGCCAGUCUAGAGACCAGGAGGAGUGAAAGGUAUUCUGAGGGGAGCGGUAAAAUGUGAUAAUCCUUGGAAGACCACCGAUGGCGAAAGCAUUUCACUAGAAUGGAUCUGACGGUCAGGGACGAAGGCUAGGGGAGCAAAACGGAUUAGAUACCCGAGUAGUCCUAGCUGUAAACGCUGUAUGCAAGGUGUUGCGUAUUCUUGAGAAUUCGCAGUAUCGAAGAGAAGUCGUUAAGCAUACCGCCUGGGAA